AUUGAACGCUGGCGGCAUGCUUUACACAUGCAAGUCGAACGGUAACAGGCCGCAAGGUGCUGACGAGUGGCGAACGGGUGAGUAAUGCAUCGGAACGUGCCCAGUCGUGAGGGAUAACGCAGCGAAAGCUGUGCUAAUACCGCAUACGAUCUGUGGAUGAAAGCGGGGGACCGUAAGGCCUCGCGCGAUUGGAGCGGCCGAUGUCAGAUUAGGUAGUUGGUGGGGUAAAGGCUCACCAAGCCGACGAUCUGUAGCUGGUCUGAGAGGACGACCAGCCACACUGGGACUGAGACACGGCCCAGACUCCUACGGGAGGCAGCAGUGGGGAAUUUUGGACAAUGGGCGCAAGCCUGAUCCAGCAAUGCCGCGUGCAGGAAGAAGGCCUUCGGGUUGUAAACUGCUUUUGUACGGAGCGAAAAGGCUCUCUCUAAUACAGGGGGUUCAUGACGGUACCGUAAGAAUAAGCACCGGCUAACUACGUGCCAGCCGCCGCGGUAACAC
rnacentral:rRNA from 1 species